rnacentral:rRNA from 1 species
UGACCUCGGAUCAGGUAGGGAUACCCGCUGAACUUAAGCAUAUCAAUAAGCGGAGGAAAAGAAACCAACAGGGAUUGCCUCAGUAACGGCGAGUGAAGCGGCAACAGCUCAAAUUUGAAAUCUGGCUCUUUCAGGGUCCGAGUUGUAAUUUGUAGAAGAUGCUUUGAGUGUAGCUCCAGUCUAAGUUCCUUGGAACAGGACGUCAUAGAGGGUGAGAAUCCCGUAUGUGACUGGGUGCUUUCGCUCGUGUAAAGCUCUUUCGACGAGUCGAGUUGUUUGGGAAUGCAGCCCAAAGUGGGUGGUAAAUUUCAUCUAAAGCUAAAUAUUGGCCAGAGACCGAUAGCGCACAAGUAGAGUGAUCGAAAGAUGAAAAGCACUUUGGAAAGAGAGUUAAACAGUACGUGAAAUUGUUGAAAGGGAAGCGCUUGCAACCAGACUUGCGCGCUGUUGAUCAUCCGAGCUUCUGCCCGGUGCACUCGACAGCGUUCAGGCCAGCAUCGGUUUUGGUGAGCGGAGAAAGGCCUUGGGAAUGUAGCUUCUUUCG